rnacentral:rRNA from 1 species
UACAGGGGGUGCAAACGUUGCUCGGAAUCAUUGGGCGUAAAGCGCACGUAGGCGGUCUGUUAUGUCGGAUGUGAAAGCCCUUGGCUCAACUGAGGAAGUGCAUCCGAAACUGGCAGGCUAGAGUACUAAAGAGGAUCGCGGAAUUCCCGGUGUAGAGGUGAAAUUCGUAGAUAUCGGGAGGAACACCGGUGGCGAAGGCGGAUCUCUGGGCCAUUACUGACGCUGAGGAGCGAAAGCGUGGGGAGCGAACAGG